GUGUGGGGGUGCUUUGCUGGUGACACUGUUGUGGAUUUAUUUAAAAUUGAAGGCAUACUGAACCAGCAUGGCUACCACAGCAUCUUGCAGCGGAAUGCUAUUCCAUCCGGUUGGCGUUUAGUUGGACCAUCAUUUAUUUUUCAACAGGACAAUGACCCCAAACACACCUCCUGGCUGUGUAAGGGCUAUUUGACCAAGAAGGAGAGUGAUGGGGUGCUGCGCCAGAUGACCUGGCCUCCACAGUCACCGGACCUGAACCCAAUCGAGAUGGUUUGGGGUGAGCUGGACCGCAGAGUGAAGGCAAAAGAGCCAACAAGUGCUAAGCAUCUCUGGGAACUCCUUCAAGACUGUUGGAACACCAUUUCAGCUCCCGCUGUUCUUUCUGCAUCUGUUUGUGGCGAGCCUCCAUGUCCUCGGUUAAACUUCUGAUCUCCUGUCGUCGUUGGGCGAUCUCCUUCCUCAUCUCAUCACAGCUCUCCUUCAGAGUCAGACUCGCGGAGCUUGUUGUGGAACUGAAGGAGCUGCUGCCUCAUGCGGCUGACCUCUGUGUCCUGGCCCUCUGGAAACAACUCAGCUUUCUCCAGCUCCUGCUGCUGAC